rnacentral:misc_RNA from 1 species
GUGAAUCAUCGAAUCUUUGAACGCAAAUUGCACUCUCCUCGAAGAGUAUGCCUGUUUGAGGGUCAGCCUAUAAAAAAUCGAAAUCGUUGCUGGUUCGCGGUUGCGUUCGUCGGAAAUUGGGUCAUCGUAAAUCUUUUUGUUUUUAGCUACUUAAAAUUCUCUUUUUGGUUCCAUGAACGGUUCUAAAAUUUAUUUCUUUACACUUUUAAGGUAUCGUUUUUUAUUAGACUUUACCAGCAUAUCGGAUCGCGCCU